AUCCUUUUCUAAUUCAUAAGCAUGAUGGUUAGAUGUUAAUGAUCUGUGUAGGAUGUGCCUCUCUCAAACCUUGUUAUGACAUUAGCAUAUUACCGGUCUGGCA